rnacentral:tRNA from 1 species
GCCAGUGUGGCGUAGUGGAUUGAGUGUUGGACUAGGACUCUGGAGACCAGGGUUCGAAUCCCAGCUCGGCC